AACAACAAAAUACUGGAGAGUUUCAAUUUUGCUUAGGAUGGAGAAGACUGGAAAGAAUAUCGUACCCACCCUUACAAUAAGAAAACACUGUAUGAUCUACAAAAUCAUAACUUUUAAUUAAACUGACCAGAGAACCUAAGUUACAGUGCAACGUAGUAGCCUGAAAUGUAAGGAAAGACAGAGCCCUCCAAGGAGACAGGAUGUAAGGAUUUCCCCACCUUUGGCAGAGUACAGACAAAAGACAUCAAGCUCCCUACAAACAGAUGAGCUUACCUGUUACAACACAGUGGAAUCAUGGAUUUUGAGCAUGAACCACCUCAACUUGCUGCUCUGCUCCCUGUCUGAACCACCUGAACGAUCUUGGCUUGCCCAGUAACAGAAUCCUGGGAGCAGAGCUGCUCUAGAUAAUAUAUGCUUUUCAUCAGAUUAUACUGAUCUGCAAGAGAGGUAGUGUCCCCCGG